rnacentral:rRNA from 2 species
UAUCAUGCAGUCGAGCGAACAGAAAAGGAGCUUGCUCCUUUGACGUUAGCGGCGGACGGGUGAGUAACACGUGGGCAACCUACCCUAUAGUUUGGGAUAACUCCGGGAAACCGGGGCUAAUACCGAAUAAUCUCUUUUACUUCAGGGUGAAAGACUGAAAGACGGCAUCUCGCUUUCGUUAUAGGAGGGGCCCGCGGCGCAUUAGCUAGUUGGUGAGGUAACGGCUCACCAGGGCAACAAUGCGUACCCAACCUGAGAGGGUGAUCGGCCACACGGGGACUGAAACACGGCCCAAACUCCUACGGGAGGCAGCAUUAGGGAAUCUUCCACAAUGGGCAAAAGCCUGAUGGACCACCGCCCCGGGAGUGAAGAAGGUUUUCGGAUCGUAAAACUCUGUUGUAAGGGAAAAACAAGUACAGUAGUAACUGGCUGUACCUUGACGGUACCUUAUUAGAAAGCCACGGCUAACUACGUGCCAGCAGCCGCGGUAAUACUUAGGUGGCAAGCGUUGUCCGAAAUUAUUGGGCGUAAAGCGCGCGCAGGCGGUCCUUUAAGUCUGAUGUGAAAGCCCACGGCUCACCCGUGGAGGGUCAUUGGAAACUGGGGGACUUGAGUGCAGAAGAGGAAAGUGGAAUUCCAAGUGUAGCGGUGAAAUGCGUAGAGAUUUGGAGGAACACCAGUGGCGAAGGCGACUUUCUGGUCUGUAACUGACGCUGAGGCGCGAAAGCGUGGGGAGCAAACAGGAUUAGAUACCCUGGUAGUCCACGCCGUAAACGAUGAGUGCUAAGUGUAA